AACGAACGCUGGCGGCAUGCCUAACACAUGCAAGUCGAACGAGACCUUCGGGUCUAGUGGCGCGCGGGUGCGUAACGCGUGGGAAUCUGCCCUUGGGUUCGGAAUAACAGUUGGAAACGACUGCUAAUACCGGAUGAUGACGUAAGUCCAAAGAUUUAUCGCCCAAGGAUGAGCCCGCGUAGGAUUAGCUAGUUGGUGAGGUAAAGGCUCACCAAGGCAACGAUCCUUAGCUGGUCUGAGAGGAUGAUCAGCCACACUGGGACUGAGACACGGCCCAGACUCCUACGGGAGGCAGCAGUGGGGAAUAUUGGACAAUGGGCGAAAGCCUGAUCCAGCAAUGCCGCGUGAGUGAUGAAGGCCUUAGGGUUGUAAAGCUCUUUUACCCGGGAUGAUAAUGACAGUACCGGGAGAAUAAGCUCCGGCUAACUCCGUG
rnacentral:rRNA from 1 species